AAUCAACGCUGGCGGCGUGCCUAACACAUGCAAGUCGCACGAGAAAGGGACUUCGGUCCUGAGUACAGUAGGCGCACGGGUGAGUAACACGUGACUUAUCUACCCUCGAGUGGGGAAUAACCUAGAGAAAUCUGGGCUAAUACCGCAUAACACUUACGAGUCAAAGCAGCAAUGCGCUUGAGGAGGAGGUCGCGGCCGAUUAGCUAGUUGGCGGGGUAAUGGCCCACCAAGGCGAUGAUCGGUAUCCGGCCUGAGAGGGCGCACGGGACACACUGGAACUGAAACACGGGUCCAGACUCCUACGGGAGGCAGCAGUGGGGAAUUUUGCGCAAUGGGCGAAAGCCUGACGCAGCGACGCCGCGUGAGGGAUGAAGGCCUCGGUGUAA
rnacentral:rRNA from 1 species